rnacentral:rRNA from 1 species
GAUGAACGCUGGCGGCGUGCCUAAUACAUGCAAGUCGAGCGAACGGACGAGAAGCUUGCUUCUCUGAUGUUAGCGGCGGACGGGUGAGUAACACGUGGAUAACCUACCUAUAAGACUGGGAUAACUUCGGGAAACCGGAGCUAAUACCGGAUGAUAUUUUGAACCGCAUGGUUCAAAAGUGAAAGACGGUCUUGCUGUCACUUAUAGAUGGGUCCGCGCUGCAUUAGCUAGUUGGUAAGGUAACGGCUUACCAAGGCAACGAUGCAUAGCCGACCUGAGAGGGUGAUCGGCCACACUGGAACUGAGACACGGUCCAGACUCCUACGGGAGGCAGCAGUAGGGAAUCUUCCGCAAUGGGCGAAAGCCUGACGGAGCAACGCCGCGUGAGUGAUGAAGGUCUUCGGAUCGUAAAACUCUGUUAUUAGGGAAGAACAUAUGUGUAAGUAACUGUGCACAUCUUGACGGUACCUAAUCAGAAAGCCACGGCUAACUACGUG